rnacentral:rRNA from 1 species
GUGAGGGUGUAUCCUCGUGGUACAUUCGAAUUUAGGGUUCGCAAGAAGGGCUAAGUCGUAACAAGGUAUCCGUAGGUGAACCUGCA